rnacentral:rRNA from 1 species
UCCUACGGGAGGCAGCAGUGGGGAAUAUUGCACAAUGGGGGGAACCCUGAUGCAGCCAUGCCGCGUGUGUGAAGAAGGCCUUCGGGUUGUAAAGCACUUUCAGUUGUGAGGAAAGGUUAGUAGUUAAUACCUGCUAGCUGUGACGUUAGCAACAGAAGAAGCACCGGCUAACUCCGUGCCAGCAGCCGCGGUAAUACGGAGGGUGCGAGCGUUAAUCGGAAUUACUGGGCGUAAAGCGCACGCAGGCGGUUUGUUAAGCUAGAUGUGAAAGCCCAGGGCUUAACCUUGGAACUGCAUUUGAUACUGGUAAUCUUGAGUACAGUAGAGGGAGGUGGAAUUUCAGGUGUAGCGGUGAAAUGCGUAGAUAUCUGAAGGAACAUCAGUGGCGAAGGCGACCUUCUGGACUGAUACUGACGCUGAGGUGCGAAAGUGUGGGGAGCAAACAGGAUUAGAUACCCUGGUAGUCCACACCGUAAACGAUGAAUGCCAGUCGUCGGAUAGUAUACUAUUCGGUGACACACCUAACGGAUUAAGCAUUCCGCCUGGGGAGUACGGUCGCAAGAUUAAAACUCAAAGGAAUUGACGGA